GAUGAACGCUAGCUACAGGCUUAACACAUGCAAGUCGAGGGGCAGCAUGCUGAUAGCUUGCUAUCAGUGAUGGCGACCGGCGCACGGGUGAGUAACGCGUAUCCAACCUGCCUGUCACUCAGGAAUAGCCCGGUGAAAACCGGAUUAAGUCCUGAUGAUAUCAUUAGAGGGCAUCUGACGAUGAUUAAAGGUUACGGUGACGGAUGGGGAUGCGUCUGAUUAGCUUGUUGGCGGGUAACGGCCCACCAAGGCGACGAUCAGUAGGGGUUCUGAGAGGAAGGUCCCCCACAUUGGAACUGAGACACGGUCCAAACUCCUACGGGAGGCAGCAGUGAGGAAUAUUGGUCAAUGGGCGCAAGCCUGAACCAGCCAAGUAGCGUGAGGGAAGACUGCCCUACGGGUUGUAAACCUCUUUUGUUGGGAAUAAAGUGCGGGACGUGUCCCGCAUUGCAUGUACCAUUUGAAUAAGGACCGGNUAAUUCCGUGCCAG
rnacentral:rRNA from 1 species